AUUGAACGCUGGCGGCAGGCCUAACACAUGCAAGUCGAACGAGUGGCGGACGGGUGAGUAAUGUCUGGGAAACUGCCUGAUGGAGGGGGAUAACUACUGGAAACGGUAGCUAAUACCGCAUACCAUCGGAUGUGCCCAGAUGGGAUUAGGCAGUAGGGGGGGUAAAGGCUCACCUAGGCGACGAUCCCGAGCUGGUCUGAGAGGAUGACCAGCCACACUGGAACUGAGACACGGUCCAGACUCCUACGGGAGGCAGCAGUGGGGAAUAGUGCACAAUGGGCGCACGCCUGAUGCAGCCAUGCCGCGUGUAUGAAGAAGGCCUUCGGGUUGUAAAGUACUUUCAGCGGGGAGGCUUUACCCUCCGCAGAAGCACCGGCUAACUCCGUGCCAGCAGCCGCGGUAAUCC
rnacentral:rRNA from 1 species